rnacentral:rRNA from 1 species
GACGAACGCUGGCGGCGUGCUUAACACAUGCAAGUCGAACGGAAAGGCCCUGCUUUUGUGGGGUGCUCGAGUGGCGAACGGGUGAGUAACACGUGAGUAACCUGCCCUUGACUUUGGGAUAACUUCAGGAAACUGGGGCUCAUACCGGAUAGGAGCUCCUGCUGCAUGGUGGGGGUUGGAAAGUUUCGGCGGUUGGGGAUGGACUCGCGGCUUAUCAGCUUGUUGGUGGGGUAGUGGCUUACCAAGGCUUUGACGGGUAGCCGGCCUGAGAGGGUGACCGGCCACAUUGGGACUGAGAUACGGCCCAGACUCCUACGGGAGGCAGCAGUGGGGAAUAUUGCACAAUGGGCGGAAGCCUGAUGCAGCAACGCCGCGUGCGGGAUGACGGCCUUCGGGUUGUAAACCGCAUUCGCCUGUGACGAAGCGUGAGUGACGGUAAUGGGUAAAGAAGCACCGGCUAACUACGUG